GUGAAACAUUUGGGAUUAAAGCUCUCUACCCACAAGACACGUUGGCCAGUUGCAUAGCAAACUUCCACUUCCUGCCCCGCCGAAGUGACCUGGAAAGAACAUCUCUAAGGCUGAGAACAGUUAAUUCUCCAUUCCCAUUCAGUCCUUUGCCUCU
rnacentral:sRNA from 1 species